rnacentral:tRNA from 1 species
GGGGCCGUGGUCCAGCCUGGUAAGACGUUGGGCUCCAGAAAUUACAAGAAGCUUGACUGAUCCGUGAGGAGAUGAGGAGUUUCUGGAGCGGAGAAACCCAAAUAUCGAGGGUUCAAAUCCUUCCGGCCCCA